GUAUUUGUAAGUUGCAAAAGAAUUUUUCGGAUUCGAUUUUCAAAUUUUGGAAUUGUCAAAACAUUUAUCCAAAUAUAUCAAAGCAUAGAUAAACAAAUAUUACAUAUAUAAAACUUUUUGCAAUUGCCGACGUGGUCCUCUGCCACCUCCGAUGGUGGAAGAAAAUUAGGGGAAAAAUGAUCAUUCCAUGAAUCAAACAGUUUCUUAGAGGAAGCUUAGGAACAGUGAGGAAAUGACUAGUUCAUUCCCUGGAAUCAAAGAUACCCUUUUUGUAUGGAUACUCCAAAGAUGCAGGAGAAUAACAUAAAAAUGAUUGGAAACAAAGCAAGAGCAAACAUCUAAAGAUUUAACAAAGUGUAGAUUCCUAGCACAAAAAUAGAGGAUACAAAUCCACUUAAAACAAAAGGAAACAAUACUAUGGAAUAUCUCACAUGAUCACUUAAAGAAAAGGGUUUUUCUUUCUUUCUACCCAAUAUAUAGACAAGGCCUAUCAUUUGUAAGUACAACUUCCGUCAUCACUUCUAGCAGUGGGGUCAAAGUUAUCCGCACCUGGAUCAGUACAACCUUCAGGAACUGGAACACCAAUUUGCUGGGCUGCUUUGCCUGCAACACCACCAACAAUAGAGAAAAGAGCGAAGAGCUGGUGAAUACUUCUUUUUUGAAUACAAGAUAACAUUACUCGGCGUGCAAAUUUAGAUGCAAACCUCCCAUCAAGGCCUCUAGGAUAAAGGGGUCUAACCGUAGAAAGUUCCUCUCUUGAUAGAAUCCUCAUUGGCGUCUCCAAGAGCAGCCUCGCUCAAGUACUUGUCAGCCAAUUGGACUCUCUUCACAUUCUCUUGCUCUGCAACAAGCAUGUUUCCGUACUCCAGGAGCUUCUCGAUGGUCAUCUUGGGUUGCUCGAAAGUUGGAGGUCCUUCCCUUGAGUUCACCAGUUUCUUGCCGACGGUGUCAACUCCAACCUCACUGACCCACUUCCUCACUUCGUCAUCGUAAACUCUGGCCCUCAGGGCACCGAAGAAGUCUGCAAAUUGCAAAGCAUACUGUUAAUGUUCAUUUCUGGUAGAAAACAGCUGGGAAAUUUGAUAGGAAACUGGUUGGAAGUGAGACUUUACCAAUGGAUUGGCCAGGGAAGGUGUCAACGAGCUUGACAAUGUCAUCAUCUGGAACAUUGUCAGUCCUGAAGAUACCUUUGCAGACACCAAUUCUGUCAUCCCUGGUAGGUGCCCAGUAG
rnacentral:lncRNA from 1 species